UUAAGUUGCUUUUUCAUUUAUGGGUUGAAAGAAAAAAAGAGAGAGAGAAAAAAAAGAAGUGUUAUUAUUUUCUCUUUCUUUCUCUCUCUCUUUUCACGCACACGCCAGAGCUUCUUUCCCCCCUUUCGUUUUUCCUUCUUUCUGGUAUGCGAGCCCUAGCUGUUUGAAGCCACCGCCACCAAGACUUCCAGCCGCCGUCGCGUCCCAGACCGCCACAGACCCUCGUGUCGAGCAUCGAUUAGCUUCGCCGCACGCCCUCGUCCGUGCCAAGCCCCAGCCAUCCGUUCCUGUCGCCGCACCGUCGCUCACCACACCCAGCGUCGAUCUCCGUCCUAUCCGUCAACCUCCAUCAGUGGUAAGUCGCAUGACCCCGCCAGUCGCCGAUCGGUGUUGUCACCACUGCCCUAAUUCUUGCCAGAAUCUUGAAAAAUUUGGAUUUAGGAGUCUUAGGGUCGUCGUUCAUCAAAGUAGAGACCACUCUUUUUGGCGGAAAAAGAAAGUUGAGGUUUGGGCUGAUUCAAGUUGAUCCAAGAGGUUUUUAAGAAGAUUAAUUGCGUGAACUUUUUGGUUACCAAUUUGAAGGAAUGGUACGUUUUAGGGGAAGAGGCAGAGGCAGUCACAAGAUUACCAGAAAGGGGUGCGAUCUCGAAGGGCAGAAUCCAACGGUUCAGGAUCAAGAUCCACAUGAUGAGGAUCCACAAAUUCAAAAUUCACAAGUAUAGGACCCGCUAGGAUCCCUUGCCGCCUAGAGACCCCUCAGGGUCAGGGUAGCAGCGAACCCAUACAUGACGUCGAGCCCAACACACGGCUGUGCCCUCGCAAACACAACACCCCCAGUUGUCCCAACAGAGUUCACUGAUUGGGCAACCAUUAUAGGGGAAGCAAUCACAUCAACUGUAUUGAGUAAGGUAAAGGACAUGUUGGAUGAGCGAAUGACCCAAUUUUCCCAACAGUUACCACUGUCGCAAGUUUAGAUACCGCAAGUUUAGACUUAGAACAUAACUCUAAAUGAGAGCAUGUCGGACCUUUUAGUGGAGGCCAAACACUUGUGAGAUUUCAGGAAGUACAACCCCAACAUCUUCAACGGGUCACUAAAGGAUCCUACCAAUGCAGAGUUAUGGAUAUUAACGAUUGAAAUAAUUUUCCGUUAUAUGAAAUGCUCAGAAGAUCAGAAAGUGCAGUGUGCCGUCUUCAUGCUCAUUGACAAAGCACAUAUUUGGUGGCAGUCGGCAGAAAGGAUGUUAGGUGCAAGGGGGGAAACAUGGGAGCAGUUCAAAGAGCGCUUCGACGUGAAGUACUUCUCUGCCAACUUGAGGUACAAUAAGCAAAAGGAGUUCUUGGAGCUGAGGCAUGAGCACAUGUCGGUGGAGGAGUAUGACCAGGGGUUUGACACCCUGUAUUGUUUUGCCCUAAAAUUGGUUGCUAUGGAGGCUAUGAGAGCGGAGAGGUUCGUUCAAGGUCUAAAGGACAGUAUACGAGGUAUCAUGCGAGCCUUCAAACCGACCACUCACACUGAAGCACUUCGUGAUGGAAUACACAAGCAUGCAAUGAAAGAAAAUAGAAUCAAUAAGCACUCUAAUUAUAUUUAAUUUGAGUUCUAAAGCAUGCUAUUUCAUCAACUCAAAAGAAAGUUUCAAGAAAAGCAUACCUUUGACGAUUUCUCACGAUUCCAAGCUGCUCUUCACUCCAAAUCAGCUCCAAAUCGACAGUGAACCACCAAAAGAUCUUCUCUACUAUUCUAAGCCUUGAAUUUGAGUGGUGGAACUCGAAUUUGAGUGAAUAUGGUGAAGGAUAUUGAGGGUUUUUGUGAGGAAGAAGAUGAAGAAGUAGAAACUCUUUUCAGCUCCAGAACCACUUACUUUGUUCUUCAAAAUUGAGAGUUUUAUAAUUCUUCAGCAUGCAAGCAUUUCUUAA